rnacentral:rRNA from 1 species
UACGUAGGGAGCAAGCGUUGUCCGGAAUCAUUGGGCGUAAAGCGCGCGUAGGCGGCCCUGUAAGUCCGUUGUGAAAGUCAAAGGCUCAACCUUUGAAAGCCGAUGGAUACUGCAGGGCUAGAGUCCGGAAGAGGCGAGUGGAAUUCCUGGUGUAGCGGUGGAAUGCGCAGAUAUCAGGAGGAACACCGAUGGCGAAGGCAGCUCGAUGGGACGGUACUGACGCUGAGGCGCGAAAGCGUGGGGAGCGAACAGG